UCUUGAUGGAGAGUUUGAUCCUGGCUCAGGACGAACGCUGGCGGCGUGCCUAACACAUGCAAGUCGAACGAGAUCCAUUUGGUGCUUGCACCAGAGAAGAUCUAGUGGCGAACGGGUGAGUAGCACGUGAGCAACCUACCCCGAAGACCGGGAUAACACCGGGAAACCGGUGCUAAUACCGGAUACCCUCACAGCAUCACAUGGUGCAGUGAGGAAAUGGAUUCCGCUUCGGGAGGGGCUCGCGGCCUAUCAGCUUGUUGGUGGGGUAAUGGCCUACCAAGGCUUCGACGGGUAGCUGGUCUGAGAGGACGAUCAGCCACACUGGGACUGAGACACGGCCCAGACUCCUACG
rnacentral:rRNA from 1 species